UCUCUUCUUCUUCUCUUCUUCUUUGUCUUCUCUUCUUCUUUUUUUCUUCUUCUUUGUGGAAGACCACGCGUCGACCCUCAUUCUCAAUUUUUCCUCCCUUCCGCUAACCAUUUCUCUCCCUCUCUCAUUCAUGUUAGGAACGACGCAACUUUUCGUCAACGACACACCCGAAAUCCUCCUCUUUCUCUCCUUCAGCCAACGCCACCACCCAACACCUCUCGCACCGCUCAACUCACCAUUUUACACAUUUUUAUGAAGGGUUGGGAGGGGGCUGAAAAUGUUGUUACAGAAGUUUGGGCACUCUAGUUAUUCUUCUAUAAUCUCAAUAUUGUUUUUUUUUUUCAAUCUUACACCAAUGGUUUGGAAGAAUCCAUUUGGAGCAUUGAAGCCAAUUUGGAGCAAUUGAUUGAUAUAACAUCUUUUGUAUGGUUGGUAGCAAACACUUGCUUUCAAUGUAUUGAUUUUAGGUUUCUUGCUUCCAAUGUCAAUGUAUAUUGUUUUUCUAUGGAAACUACAUUUGAACUAAACAAAUGGUUAUUAGUCAAUAUGGGUGUACAAAUACUACAAAGUGUAUCAUUAUGCAUAUAUAUAUAUAUAUAUAUAUAUUAAAGUGUUGACUUAUUAUUUUCA